UCAAUGGGCGAGAGCCUGAACCAGCCAUGCCGCGUGCAGGAAGACGGCUUUCUGAGUUGUAAACUGCUUUUGUACGGGAAGAAAAGUCCUUGCGAGGAAAUUGCCGGUACCGUACGAAUAAGCACCGGCUAACUCCGUGCCAGCAGCCGCGGUAAUACGGAGGGUGCAAGCGUUGUCCGGAUUUAUUGGGUUUAAAGGGUGCGUAGGCGGAUCUUUAAGUCAGUGGUGAAAUCCUGCAGCUUAACUGUAGAACUGCCAUUGAUACUGGAGGUCUUGAGUAUACUAGAGGUAGGCGGAAUUUAUGGUGUAGCGGUGAAAUGCAUAGAUACCAUAAAGAACACCAAUAGCGUAGGCAGCUUACUGGAGUAUAACUGACGCUGAGGCACGAAAGCAUGGGUAGCGAACAGGAUUAGAUACCCUGGUAG
rnacentral:rRNA from 1 species